GAUGAAGAACGCAGCUAAAUGCGAUAAGUAGUGUGAAUUGCAGAAUUCAGUGAAUCAUCGAAUCUUUGAACGCACAUUGCGCCCUUUGGUAUUCCUUAGGGCAUGCCUGUUCGAGCGUCAUUUAAACCUUCAAGCUCAGCUUGGUGUUGGGUGACUGUCCGCUUCACCGCGGACUCGCCUCAAAAUUAUUGGCGGCCGGUACAUUGGCUUCGAGCGCAGCAGAAACGCGAACUCGGGCCCGUCGUAUUGGCUCCCAGAAGCUAUCUUCACAAUUUUGACCUCGGAUCAGGUAGGGAUACCCGCUGAACUUAAGCAUAUCAAUAAGCGGAGGA
rnacentral:misc_RNA from 1 species